rnacentral:sRNA from 1 species
GAAUGAUAGGGGAAAAUAAGGCAAGGGUGAGAGAAGACCUUGUGUGGAUAUUUGUCCAAAAUGUUUAUCCACAGGAACAAUCCCUUCGUGAAGGCUGCUGGUGUGUGAAUGUGUGCCGGUUCCUUGGGGCGUUCAUUUGGAUCUUUCUGUGUUCCAGUGACCUACGGCAUGAUGAGCUCCAAUGUGUACUACUACACCCGGAUGAUGUCACAGCUCUUCCUAGACACCCCCGUGUCCAAAACGGAGAAAACUAACUUUAAAACUCUGUCUUCCAUGGAAGACUUCUGGAAGUUCACAGAAGGCUCCUUAUUGGAUGGGCUGUACUGGAAGAUGCAGCCCAGCAACCAGACUGAAGCUGACAACCGAAGUUUCAUCUUCUAUGAGAACCUGCUGUUAGGGGUUCCACGAAUACGGCAACUCCGAGUCAGAAACGGAUCCUGCUCUAUCCCCCAGGACUUGAGAGAUGAAAUUAAAGAGUGCUAUGAUGUCUACUCUGUCAGUAGUGAAGAUAGGGCUCCCUUUGGGCCCCGAAAUGGAACCGCUUGGAUCUACACAAGUGAAAAAGACUUGAAUGGUAGUAGCCACUGGGGAAUCAUUGCAACUUAUAGUGGAGCUGGCUAUUAUCUGGAUUUGUCAAGAACAAGAGAGGAAACAGCUGCACAAGUUGCUAGCCUCAAGAAAAAUGUCUGGCUGG